rnacentral:rRNA from 1 species
AAACUCAAAGGAAUUGACGGACCCCGCACAAGCGGUGGAUUAUGUUGUUUAAUUCGACGCAACGCGAAGAACCUUACCAGGCCUUGACAUACUCGGCAAAGCUCUAGAGAUAGAGUGGAGGUUAUCCGGGAUACAGGUGGUGCAUGGUUGUCGUCAGCUCGUGUCGUGAGAUGUUGGGUUAAGUCCCGCAACGAGCGCAACCCUUGUCUUUAGUUACCAUCAUUCAGUUGGGGACUCUAGAGAGACUGCCGGUGAUAAACCGGAGGAAGGUGGGGAUGACGUCAAAUCAUCAUGCCCCUUAUGGCCUGGGCUACAAACGUAAUACAAUGGCGUAUACAAAGGGAUGCGAAAGGGCGACCUGGAGCAAAACUCACAAAGUACGUCUCAGUUCAGAUUGGAGUCUGCAACUCGACUCCAUGAAGGCGGAAUCGCUAGUAAUCGCGGAUCAGCAUGCCGCGGUGAAUACGUUCUCGGGGUUU